rnacentral:rRNA from 1 species
UACGUAGGGGGCAAGCGUUGUCCGGAAUCAUUGGGCGUAAAGCGCGUGUAGGCGGCCAGAAAAGUCCGCUGUGAAAACUCGAGGCUCAACUUCGAGCUGUCGGUGGAAACUUUCUGGCUAGAGUCCGGAAGAGGAGAAUGGAAUUCCUGGUGUAGCGGUGAAAUGCGCAGAGAUCGGGAGGAACACCCGUAGCGAAGGCGGCACUCUGGGCCGGUACUGACGCUGAGGAGCGAAAGCGUGGGGAGCGAACAGG